UUGGGCCGGCCUGACCAACUGGCCCGUGUAAGGGCCUGAGGGAGCGGUUAGGGUGACGAGCCGAACCGCCGCCGCCCCUCUGCCCCAAAGGUCGCGGUGUCCCUUGGCCCCGACCGCCGCCGCCGCCUUGCCUCUGGGCGCCGCCGCCAGACCCGUCUGGGCGUGCAGCCGCGCCUUGGCCGUGCCAUCGCCGGCCGUGGUGCGCCGCCGCUAGUGUGCCGUUCCGGCGCCGUGGUCGCCCGCCAGUGCCGAGCGCCGCUGCACGCCGCUUCAUGGCCUCUGCGCCGCGACCUCCGGUGUGUGCCGCCUCCAGCCCCAUGCAUCGUCGGCGUUGACAAGUUCUUUGCCUGAUGUUGAGGUCGGGCCUCUGCUCAGGAUGGCGACUGCAGAGUUCAUGGACGAAGAAGUUGAUGGCGCCCGUUGUCGUCGCCGGCGAGUGACCGUUGUUCAUGCGGUCUUCUUCUUGGCCUAGCAUGUCGCCGGCGAGCCCAUGCGUCCAGUGGGGGAACGGCGUCCGCGACCACCACGGGAGCGGCGACCAUGGCGGCCUCGGCGGCGACGACCCGAAGUAGCGUGGCCUAUCGGCCUCUGUUCUUGCAGCAAUUUGGCGAGAGGAGAACUCCCUGCAGUGGCUUUGUUCCUCUUGUUCGCUCAGUGUACGAGUCGUCCAGUUCUCUGAUGAUUCUUCUCGGCGACUCCGCUUGUUGCGCUCAGUAGUAGAACAAAGUGAUCAGGGUUGUGAGGACGACAUGCUCUCCGGCGUGUUCUUGUUGC